UGAGUAACCUGCCCUUCACUCUGGGAUAACUCCGGGAAACCGGGGCUAAUACUGGAUAUGACUCGAACAGGCAUCUGUUUCGGGUGGAAAGAUUUAUUGGUGGAGGAUGGACUCGCGGCCUAUCAGCUUGUUGGUGAGGUAAUGGCUCACCAAGGCGACGACGGGUAGCCGGGCCUGAGAGGGCGAUCGGCCACACUGGGACUGAGACACGGCCCAGACUCCUACGGGAGCA
rnacentral:rRNA from 1 species